AUGGCGACGACGAGCUGCCCUCGUCUCCUACAUCUCCCCUCCUCCACCUCCACCUCCUCCGCCCUCCCACCAGUCUGUCCUUCCCACCUCCGCUUCAAGCCACCACCACCACCAGCCGGCGCGGUUUCUACUUCCGCCUUGGGCCGUGGCUGCAGUUCUUGGCUCAGCCUCCGCUGCCGAAGCGCUGCCGGACCCUUGCCGCCCUCCUCCGAGCCACCGCCUCCAUCUCCUCAAGAUUGGCAAGAGAGGUUGUCAAGAUUACAGGAUACGUUACGGAUAUUCUUUGCAGUUCUGUUCUGGAUGUCACUGUUUUUCUGGGGCAGUGCUUGGGGUGGAAGUAACAACUCAGGGGGCAAGAAGGGCCAACGGUUUCGAAACAAAUCCAAGUGA
rnacentral:rRNA from 1 species